CUUGAUAAAAAGUCUUCCCUUAAAAGGGACACUUCUGGGAGGUGGCCCUCAGUGGCGAGCAGCCCAGAGGCAGGGGGAGAAAGGGGCGAGGGGGCUUAGUCUUGAGGCUGGAGGCCUCAGCGCGAGCCGUUCGUUCUCUCUACAGAGAUUAGGCUUAUCGAAAAAGAAACCAGGAGGAGGAGCGGCGCCGCCUCAGGCGCCGCCGCUGCGCAAGUGGCAGCCGGAAGCACGUCUUGCGAUAGAUGAGGUUGGCGUAGUGGUAGAAGAGGUUUAGGAUGACGGGCAUGACAUACGCACGAUUCGCUUAUAAAUUUCUGGAGUUACUUCUAGGAAUGCAACAACUUGAACUAGAGGCUCUCCUACCGGCUCUUUAAGUUCCACAAGAAGAUCUGGAUCAACCCGCGUUAUGACACGGUGUCCACAAACACAUACCGGUGGUGCAACCACCGAGUCUACUAUGUUUUUGACGAGAAAGUCUGCCUGUUGAAGUCUUCGAAGAACCAUUCUCAGUCAGCGUCACUACUAGUGACGGCUUCGAACCAUAACAGGUUUUGAACACUUUACAGAUUGUACGCCACAAGGAAUACCUCCUUACCUUGGAAUGUGAGAAAUCCUUAUACUUGUCUCACAACGUCGAGUACGAUCCUAAAAAAAAAAUCAACUUCACAACACUGUUUUUAGGUACACGACCUAACAUACUAAAAGAGUUCACGUAUAUGUAAAUAGACAACACGGACAAAAAUAAUGACAAACACAAGUAUUCAUGAGAUGAAGGAGAAGGUAAUACAUAGUAGACUGAAUGAACCAAAGUCAGAAGUAUAAUAACCUUAAAAUAACCUUACAGUAACGGUUUG
rnacentral:rRNA from 1 species